CGGCAAUUGAUUAUUGUGCCGACAAAUCAGUAAAAAUUGGGGAUAUGAAAACAAUUUGUAAAUAUUGUAAGGCGUUAAAGUACACUGGUAAAUCUACUGGAUUAUGUUGCGCUGUAGGCAAAGUAAAAUUGCCACAAUUGGUCCCACCACCAGAUCCUUUACGCUCCUUAGUUUCUGGGAUUGGAAAUGAUUCGAAGCACUUCUUGACCAACAUUCAGAAAUAUAACAACUUUGUUCAGAUGCCAUCAUUUGGUGCUACACAUAUUAUACAAGCCAAUUUCAUGCCCACUUUUAAGAUACAAGGACAAUUUUAUCACUUACUGGGAACUCUGAUACCACUACCUGAUGCAGAUCAUCAAUUUUUACAAAUUUAUUUUAUGGGCAAUUCAGAUGCGGAAAUUAAUAUUCGUUGUGCUCACAAACCAACAGUAAAGAGAACCAUUGUCCAACAAUUACAAAUGUUUCUUCAUCAGAAUAACAAUUUAGUAAACAUGAUCAAAAUAGCAUUGGAUCGGAUGCCAUCUGAUAGCCAUAAUACUGGAAGACUGGCUGUGAAAAGACUGAUGAAUAACGUCAUUGAGACAA